GGAGAAAUAUUUUGGGGAUGAAAUAGUCAUAUAAAUCAGGUAUUUGCAAGAUUUGUUCCUACGUGGGUGUAUUAUAUUGAAUUUGCAGAAAGUGGUUAUUAUCUUUACCUAAAUAAUGAUUAGAUUACAAUGAUUGUGCAAUAAUGAGUUCAUAAAUUUUAAAGUGAGAAUGUGUACUGCUUUGUAUAUUGAAAUUUAUUCUAACAGUACCUAAUUCUAAUUUUUGGUACUAAACAUAUGACAUGUAGGAAUCUAAACAUGAUUUUCAUGAUCAGGAGUAAUUAUAUUCAAGAGUUGGCAAUGUUUAGGAAUUGUAAUGAUGAGGUUGGGAAGAUUAAGAAUCAUAUGUAAUGCAUUCCGCAGACAAACACUGUUUCGGCUAUUUUGGUUGACAAUUUAUUAUGUACAGAUUCUUAUUAAUUACACGGGGGGUUGGCUUUGAUUUUGAAUUUCCCUAAGAUCAUGGGAAUCUUACAUCUAAACUAAUUAGAAUGUGUUAUUCCAUAUUUUGAAUAGAUUAAGGCCAUUGGAGGUCAUUUGGUUGGGGUUCUAGGCGUGGCAAGAUUGGAGAACUUUCCGUUAGUGAGGUAAGUGAGAUUUUAAGCUUUGAUGCUUACUUUUCUAAAACCCGUUUUAAAAAUUAAUUUUUUCUGUCCGAUCCAUAUGUUGGGAUAAGUGUGCACUUGGCAGAAUCGGUGGUAUUAGACUAGCAGCAAAUAUAUUAUUUUAUGAAAAAUACAAAACAAAAAAAAAAUAUAAGUUGUUUGAUAGUUUGAUACGGCUGUGAGCCAUGUGUUGAGUUGAUAUGGUUGUGCGCCAUGAUGUCGAGUUUGAUAAUUUGAUACGGCUGUGUGCCACGAUGUUGAGUUUGAUACGACUGUGCGCCACGAUGUUGAGUUUUAUACGACUAUGUGCCAUGAUGUUGAGUUUGAUACGGCCGUGCGCCAUGAUAUUGAGUUUGAUACGGCUGUGCGCCAUGAUGCUGAGUUUGAUACGGCUGAGUGCCAUGAUGUUGAGUUUGAUACGAUUGUGNNNNNNNNNNNNNNNNNNNNNNNNNUUUUUCUAACACUUAUUCCAGAGGUAUUUAAAGUAGCGGUUCGAGGAUCUUACUGUGUUAUAUUUAUGUAUAACUCACUCCUUACUCGCUUCUCUAUGCAGAUACCGUUGCGGGAGAUAGAGCUAGUGGCUGACGAGUUGUUCGAGUGGAUCCUAUUGCUGAGGUGAGCCACCACAUUAUUCGUGGAGGCUUUCGUUUCAUACUUACCUAGCUCGUGUUAGUUAUUUCCUUUUUCUUUGGGAUUUGUAUACCUGUCAAUAAAAC
rnacentral:lncRNA from 1 species